rnacentral:rRNA from 1 species
UACGUAGGGUGCAAGCGUUGUCCGGAAUUAUUGGGCGUAAAGAGCUCGUAGGCGGUCAGUCGCGUCUGCUGUGAAAACUCGGGGCUUAACUCCGGGCCUGCAGUGGGUACGGGCUGACUAGAGUGCAGUAGGGGAGACUGGAAUUCCUGGUGUAGCGGUGAAAUGCGCAGAUAUCAGGAGGAACACCGGUGGCGAAGGCGGAUCUCUGGGCCGACACUGACGCUGAGGAGCGAAAGCGUGGGGAGCGAACAGG